UUCACCAGUGGGAAGAGCCCCAAGAAUGCAGCCCGGGCCGCUUGCUCUCUUGUGCACAGUGUUUGCCUUCAUCUGCUUUGGUUCCAGCAAUUCCCAGAGUGUCAAUCAACCUACAAAUGUAAUGUAUACAAAAGAGGGAGAAUCUGUGACCUUGGAAUGCACGAUCACAGUCAGUUAUACUUACUAUGUGAUGUACUGGUAUCGACAGCUUUCCAGUGGAGAGAUGACUUACCUCAUUCAUCUAGGUUCUGAAGACAGAAACUCAAGAGAAGGACGAUAUUCUGUGGUGUUUCAGAAACCAACCAUAAAGCUCACCAUCUCAACCUUGACGCCUGGAGACUCAGCUGUCUAUUUCUGUGCUGUCGCACAACCAACCCACGGUGACAGCAGUAGUGGGAAGAGCCUUACAAAAACCCCAGGACCCAGCAUGAGCCAGCCAGCUGCUCCAGAAGCCUAG